GGAUGCGAUCAUACCAGCACUAAAGCACCGGAUCCCAUCAGAACUCCGAAGUUAUGCGUGCUUGGGCGAGAGUAGUACUAGGAUGGGUGACCUCCUGGGAAGUCCUCGUGUUGCAUUCC
rnacentral:rRNA from 2 species